rnacentral:tRNA from 1 species
GGAUGGGUGUCCGAGUGGCCGAAGGAGCACGAUUGGAAAUCGUGUAGACGGGGGUAACUCGUCUCGUGGGUUCAAAUCCCACCCCAUCCGCCA